AAUGCAGAUAAUUUGUUUAAAAGGCACCAUGCACACUGGGCAGGCUGGCUUCCCCUGGGAACGUCUUCUUUUGCCUGGAUUCCCAGUUGGUUUAAUCGGGCGUAGAACACUUUCUUCAAUCCGGGAUUCAGGCACCCCUGCUCAGCACAAACUCAGUACACCCCGCACUCUGCUGUGGGUUCUUGGCACUAUUAGGAGAAUGUGAGGGGGUGAUUCAGAUCUAUCUCUAGUGGGUGCAUGUCUGCCACUCCCAGGAACGCCCACUUCUGGCAAGUCAGUGUCAGAGAAAGGCCAGCUCGUGGCCCCUCCUGCCUUGAGUCCCAGGACCCGUGAUCAGUCCUACCCGGAGCAGAAUCAGGAGUUUGAAAACCCAAGUGCCAACAAUCUCAUUUUAACCCAUGUAAGCAUAUCCAAUAUUUAUAUAUAGAAUUCAUAACAGAUGUCUGGGCUUCCAUUCCAAUAGCCUAUAUUUUACACUGUUUAUUUACAUGGUUACACCAAACAAGACUCAAUUCAAGGUAACCCAAUCCUUUGCUACUAUACCAAAAUAAGCAACAUUUUCAGUCCAUGCCUUAUAUAUAUUCACCAAGCAUUACACUAGGCCUCCAACUGCUCAUCGGAGCAAGCUGCAGCCUGGACACAAGCUAGAGAUUAAUCAGUCAGGAAUGAUCCUGCGUCCAGUGCCAGCAUGAUGGAAGAGACAGAGAAACAGAAGACAUCAGGGCUCCAGAGUCAAGGAGCCUGCAGCCCUAGAACCAGCUUCUUCGUGGACAAGCUCUGACUCCUUUGGGUGGAGAAUGGUAUUCAGAAACCCAGACCUGGGCUCUGGUGUGCUCACUGCUACUUGGGGUCAUUGCUUCUAGGCCUCUCUGCUGAUGGAGGGAGGAAACUGGAGGACCGAGCUCAGAACGCAUUUUAGAACUGGCAGAAAAGAACAUCUGGGGAAGGAAACACAUUUCAGAAACAAACAUACCUUUGUACCAGCUUUUAUUUUCUUUAAGUGUUGAAAAAAUAAUAAUAAUAAAGACAUGCCAAAUUUAUCAUCGCUCUACAAAAUCCCUUUAUUGAGCAAAACGUGGCAGCUCUACUUUCAAAUGAUCUACUGUUCCUGGAAAAUUGCAGCAACGUGGAUGCCAAGGCCCGAAGGCCGCCAUCAGCAGCCAAACAAAAGAUGCCACCUCGGGCUCCGCGACACUGUACCAUGCCAGGGAACUGGACAGAUUUGGGGAAUGCCACGGUUUGCCUUUAACCCCUUGCCUCCUGGUCUCCUGAUGCAUCUCAGAGGCUAACAUUCUUUGAGGAACUGGCAUUUCUUAGUUGUAAAUAUGCAUGUGGGUUUGGGAGCUGCCUGCAAAGUCCAGUGUUGACGAUCAGCUUUGAUUUCCUUGGAAUCAAGUUUACGUGUCGAGUCUGGAAGUUAAGAAGAAUUUGGAGAAGCUGAGCACUAUGGUGUUGCAGGCCCUGGGUGAACUCUUCCACCAAGCAUUCAUUGUGGACUGACAGCGUGCGAGGGGCUCUGCAGGCAGGUGCACAGGACGAAACACAUUCCGUCCGGGGGAAACCUGCAGGAAAGCUCCCUCUUCUUCCUAAGGUGCCGGGCCUAGCUUCAUGGGUCCCUACCCUCCACGCCUGUCACACUUUCUGAGUCUCAUGUGGGAGCUGCUUCUGGUUCCUGACUUCACUCAGUCCUCAUAGGAGGUGGAACUACUGUCACCCCAUUUUACAGAUGGGGAGACUGGGCACAAGGGGACCAAGAAACCAAUGCAAAGUCACACUUGUGGGAUCAGUGACAGGGGAGAUCAAUUCCCAGGUUCUUUCUGCAAGAGUUAAAUUGUUUUCAUGCUGCCUAAGGGGGGGCAACUGAAAGACCACUGCAUAUCUUUGCCAAAAGGGUCAAGCACAGGAGCCGCAGCCAGUGGGUCAGAUCCGCAGAGGCGCUGGGGUGACCCUCCCCAUACCUGGAGGGAUGCUUGUCCCCUCCUGGCCUUCACUGGGUCCCCUCAUGACCGUGGCCUCCCAGGACCUCAGCACAAUCCCGGUCCUGUGCUCCAGGACAAGCCCUCCGUCCCCGAGACUGUGAGGAAAUGGAACGAAGAGGGGCUCGCUGCAGCCCAGCACCCACACUGCCCCUUCUCAGGGGCAAGAACCGUCCUGGAGGACUUGGCUUUGGAGGGGGAGCCUGGGAGGCCAGUAAGUCAACAAGCCUCUACUGCUCAUGGGUGGGAUCCCACC
rnacentral:lncRNA from 1 species